rnacentral:lncRNA from 1 species
GAACUCGAGAAGAGGUACUUUUGGUGUUGUCCUAUUACCUCCCGUAUCUAAUAGAUGACACAAAGUUAUCAGUUUAGUUGGCAAGAGCAAAAGUCCACAUCAAUUGUGAGGAUAUGAUGAUUGGCAUACUUACCCCCUGAUGAUGCCUCACUUCUUCAGAAUUUGAGGCUGUUCUUGAUAUGUCAGGUAGGUCCAGCUAUCGAGUCAAUAACUAUAUUUGGUAGUGUGUGAUGAUACAUUAAUAAUCACACUUGAAUAUGUUACCUAAACCUGUUUUGCUUUUGUAUUUCUUCCAUGUUCAUCCUUCCUUUGCCUCCUCAAAUUCUUCUUUGGCCUUAGUCCUUAUAUUUCUGUCCUCUGCAGGUUUUGUGCUGUUUGCCUCUCGGGUAGGUCCCUGCAUGAAUCUUACCUUCGGCAGUGAGCUGAGAAAAUUAGCCCCACCUUUUUUUGCUGCCCUACUAUUCGAUGAAAUGCUUGUGCCCUGAUGGAUUCCGUUCUUUUUUUGUUGGUGUUCCUUCUCAUCCUGCCUGCUUUGCAAGUCUUUGUUUCACCUAUUGUCUCGGUUCAAUUGAUUGUCCAUGCCUUGGCACGUUCUGUGUAUGAUGUAAAUUCGGAACAAUGGAUUUGGUUUUCCGAACCAUAAAACUUAUGUAGCUUGAAUUAGCAGAUUGCACCAUGAAAAGACAUACUUUCCUUUAAAAAAUAAUGUGUAUCAGUACCUCUUUAGACCCUGCUGCUUGCGAUCUGAACCAGUAUAUACUUUUCUACAGUUUAGAUGUUAUAUCAGUUUGCAGAUGAAUUCGUGGCUAAUACCAGCAUUGUGAAUUUUUCAUGUUUGUCUUCCUUUAAACCACCAUAAAACUUAUCUAGCUUGAAUUAGCAGAUUGCACCAUGAAAAGACAUAUUGUCCUUUAAAAAUAAUGUGUAUUAGUACCUCUUUAGACCCUGCUGCUUGCGAUCUGAACCAGUAUAUACUUUUCUACAGUUUAGAUGUUAUAUCAGUUUGCAGAUGAAUUCGUGGCUAAUACCAGCAUUGUGAAUUUUUCAUGUUUGUCUUCCUUUAAACCUGAUGCAUGCAUGUGCAUGAUGCUCGUUGAUGACUAUUCCAUUUGUUUUACUGACCAAUUUUUGAGAGGGAGGGUGGAGGGAGUUGGCUCUUGUGUUUGUUGAUUGCUUUGCAGAUUUAUUGGUGUUUGGUUCAGAUAGAACAGCUCCAUUUGCAUUAGCAACUGUUUGUGGAGUCCCUCGCUGCUACAGGUAUGUUUGCUCUAUAGAAUCUAUAAUAUGCAUUAUGUGCUACUGCUUUUUUUAAUUAAACCAUGAAAAAUUUAUGAUAUAGAAGAGAUUAUAAGGGGCGUCUCACGAGCACAUGAUAGCGAGAGAAUUACUCUCUGACAAUGCCUUAAUUACAGAAUGGGGUGAAGAAUGCAAGGAAGUUGCCCAUUGUCUCUCGUCACCCGACCAAGGAUAGGUGAGCGGCCAUGGAUUUUUUUUCACUCCUCCGCUCAGUGCUUGCCUCAAUCAUGUUAAUCCAUAGCGAUUUACUUUGUUCGUUCCAGGUUUGACUGACAGAGGAAGUCAAUUGAGGAGUAUGUUGACACCAGAGUCCAAGACCAUGGGUGAAGCAUUUUAAUCAAUCUGUUGUUUUGGUAAGUUUCUUGCGUUCUUAGGAUUUAAAAUAACUGCAAGGAUUGUAGAGUUCUAAUGGUUGUGUUGGGUGUUUGCGGUGGCGAGGCUGAGCAGAUCAAACUGUACGCAUGGACCGUGACUAAUGGUGUGCCAGUGUGGUGGUGCCUGCCACACACUCACACAGGUUCUUGGUACUCUCUGUAACCUGUAGAUGAUGGGCGGCGAAUCCGGCAACCACAGAUCCAUUCUCCUGCAUAAUUUUCGUUUUUUCAUUUGAUUUGGUACAAGGCCUACUCAGAAUGGGUUCCCUGAUCUCAAAAUUGUCAGUUUUCUUGCCUUUAGUUUAUAGGUACCUUAACAAAUACAUGUAUUACCAUAUUGGCAGUCAGCACCAUGCGUCAUUCAUUCUUCAUGAUCUCAUAUUUGAGGUUAGCAGUUCGAAGUAAUGUAAGAGCUUGCAUGUUUAUAGUUCUAACUAACUUUUAGUUUAGCGUAGGAUAAGUCUUCCAUGAAUUCUUAGUUAGUUGUUUAUUUUUGC